AACCGGAUUAGAUACCCUGGGUAGUCCACGCCCUAAACGAUGCCAACUAGGUGUUGGGGAAGGAGACUUCCUUAGUACCGUAGCUAACGCGUGAAGUUGGCCGCCUGGGGAGUACGGUCGCAAGAUUAAAACUCAAAGGAAUUGACGGGGACCCGCACAAGCGGUGGAUGAUGUGGAUUAAUUCGAUGCAACGCGAAAAACCUUACCUACCCUUGACAUGCCAGGAACCCUGCUGAGAGGUGGGGGUGCUCGAAAGAGAGCCUGGACACAGGUGCUGCAUGGCUGUCGUCAGCUCGUGUCGUGAGAUGUUGGGUUAAGUCCCGCAACGAGCGCAACCCUUGUCAUUAGUUGCCAUCAUUUAGUUGGGCACUCUAAUGAGACUGCCGGUGACAAACCGGAGGAAGGUGGGGAUGACGUCAAGUCCUCAUGGCCCUUAUGGGUAGGGCUUCACACGUCAUACAAUGGUCGGUACAGAGGGUUGCCAAGCCGCGAGGUGGAGCCAAUCCCAGAAAGCCGAUCGUAGUCCGGAUCGGAGUCUGCAACUCGACUCCGUGAAGUCGGAAUCGCUAGUAAUCGUGGAUCAGCAUGCCACGGUGAAUACGUUCCCGGGUCUUGUACACACCGCCCGUCACACCAUGGGAGUGGGUUUCACCAGAAGUAGGUAGCCUAACCGCAAGGGGGGCGCUUACCACGGUGGGAUUCAUGACUGGGGUGAAGUCGUAACAAGGUACC
rnacentral:rRNA from 1 species